GGGAAGGUUGCGGAAACUUUAUCCCCAACUCUCAUGACCUUUCUCCAAUUAGGCUGUGUAAUAAGAAGAAAGGCAAAGGAGGGGGAAAGAAGUCCGGAGGAAACGGCCCUGGGUGCUGGCCUUUUCCAAGGGUGAUGCAACAGGGUCAGACAGAAGAGGAGGAGGAGGAGAUAAUGAGGCACAAGAGAAACUGAAGAUCAUCUAUAUUUUAUUUUGGAAUAGAAUCACAAAUAAAUUUUAAAGUACACACUAAUAGUCUAUUCCUGACAUCAGUUCCCGCCAAUAUAGUGCUGUCUACAGGUCAUCCUACUUCACUCCGACCAAGCCAAACGAAGUCAUAUUACUCAAGUCAAUUACUGAUGAUUCACUGGAUCAUAUCCAAAAAAGUGACCUAGCAGAGAUUUAUGAAAAGCUUAUUAUCCAUAUUGCCUCUGAAUAAAGCCUGUGGAUCUCAGAGAUUAUAUCCCAAUAUGGACUUUUCAAUCAAGAAGGCCUCUCUCACAUCCUUUGUAGGAGGAUGGCUUCCAAAGGCUGAAGUGGGGGAAGCAAAGUUACUGGCUCAGUAGCAGAUUGUCAACAUAAUCACGGAUUUCAUGAGGUGUGUCCCUGAAGGGCUCCCCCUGUCUUCUCAAAAAAUCCUCCACUAAAAAUGUUUAUUCUGACUAGCCUUAAAACAAAA